rnacentral:rRNA from 1 species
GACGAACGCUGGCGGCGUGCUUAACACAUGCAAGUCGAACGAUGAACUUGGAGCUUGCUCUGGGGGAUUAGUGGCGAACGGGUGAGUAACACGUGAGUAACCUGCCCUGGACUCUGGGAUAACUUCGAGAAAUCGGAGCUAAUACCGGAUAGGACCUCGGAUCGCAUGAUCUGGGGUGGAAAGUUUUUCGGUCUGGGAUGGACUCGCGGCCUAUCAGCUUGUUGGUGAGGUAAUGGCUCACCAAGGCGUCGACGGGUAGCCGGCCUGAGAGGGUGACCGGCCACACUGGGACUGAGACACGGCCCAGACUCCUACGGGAGGCAGCAGUGGGGAAUAUUGCACAAUGGGCGCAAGCAUGAUACAGCAACGCCGCGUGCGGGAUGACGGCCUUCGGGUUGUAAACCGCCUUUAGUAAGGAAGAAGCCGCAAGGUGACGGUACUUGCAGAAAAAGGACCGGCUAACUACGUGCCAGCAGCCGCCGUAACAC